rnacentral:rRNA from 1 species
AGCAGUGAUCGCACGUUGAAAGCACCAAUUUCCAAUGUUUCACUGAAGUUAAGCAACGUUGUACGAGUUUAGUAUUCGGAUCGAUGGCCCUCUGGGCAAUUCUCGUCAGAACUCCUU